rnacentral:rRNA from 1 species
GAUGAACGCUGGCGGCGUGCCUAAUACAUGCAAGUCGAGCGAAUGGAUUAAGAGCUUGCUCUUAUGAAGUUAGCGGCGGACGGGUGAGUAACACGUGGGUAACCUGCCCAUAAGACUGGGAUAACUCCCGGAAACCGGGGCUAAUACCGGAUAACAUUUUGAACCGCAUGGUUCGAAAUUGAAAGGCGGCUUUGGCUGUCACUUAUGGAUGGACCCGCGUCGCAUUAUCUAGUUGGUGAGGUAACGGCUCACCAAGGCAACGAUGCGUAGCCGACCUGAGAGGGUGAUCGGCCACACUGGGACUGAGACACGGCCCAGACUCCUACGGGAGGUAGCAGUAGGGAAUCUUCCGCAAUGGACGAAAGUCUGACGGAGCAACGCCGCGUGAGUGAUGAAGGCUUUCGGGUCGUAAAACUCUGUUGUUAGGGAAGAACAAGUGCUAGUUGAAUAAGCUGGCACCUUGACGGUACCUAACCAGAAAGCCACGGCUAACUACGUGCCAGCAGCCGCCGUAA